AGUUCAGGGCAGAAGGGUGGAAGCUGCUGGUGUUCCUCUCAUUGUCUGCCCUUGGCCUCCCCAG
rnacentral:miRNA from 1 species